CUUCCAGUAGCACCUUAGAGACCAACUAAGCUUGUUAUUGGUAUGAGCUUUUGUGUGAUCAUACCAAUAACAAACUUAGUUGGUCUCUAAGGCGCUACUGGAAG
rnacentral:miRNA from 1 species